rnacentral:tRNA from 1 species
GGCGCUAUCGUCUAGUGGCAGGACAUCGGCUUCUCAGGCCGAAAACCGGGGUUCAAGUCCCCGUAGCGCUACCA